rnacentral:rRNA from 1 species
AUACGGAGGGUGCAAGCGUUGUUCGGAAUCACUGGGCGUAAAGGGCGCGCAGGCGGUUUGGUAAGUCAGAUGUGAAAGCCCACGGCUCAGCCGUGGAAGUGCAUUUGAAACUGUCAGACUUGAGUACUAGAGGGGAAAGUGGAAUUCCCGGUGUAGAGGUGAAAUUCGUAGAUAUCGGGAGGAAUACCGGUGGCGAAGGCGACUUUCUGGCUAGAUACUGACGCUGAGGCGCGAAAGCGUGGGGAGCAAACAGGAUUAGAAACCCCAGUAGUCC